AUUGAACGCUGGCGGCAGGCCUAACACAUGCAAGUCGAACGAGUGGCGGACGGGUGAGUAAUGUCUGGGAAACCGCCCGAUGGAGGGGGAUAACUACUGGACACGGUAGCUAAUACCGCAUACCAUCGGAUGUGCCCAGACGGGAUUAGCUAGUAGGUGGGGGAACGGCUGACCUAGGCGACGAUCCCUAGCUGGUCUGAGAGGAUGAACAGCCACACUGGAACUGAGACACGGUCCAGACUCCGACGGGAGGCAGAAGUGGGGAAGAUUGCACAAUGGGCGAAAGCCUGAUGCAGCCAUGCGGCGUGUAUGAAGAAGGCCUUCGGGUUGUAAAGUACUUUCAGCGAGGAGGCGUUACUCGCAGAAGAAGCACCGGCUAACUCCGUGCCAGCAGCCGCGGUAAUAC
rnacentral:rRNA from 1 species